UAAGACGGGGGGAGCAAGCAUUGUCCGGAAUUACUGGGCGUAAAGGGCACGUAGGCGGGCCCGUAAGUCAGGCGUGAAACCUCCCGGCUCAACCGGGAGCCUGCGCUUGAAACUGCGGGUCUUGAGUACGGGAGAGGAAAGCGGAACUGUGUGUGUAGCGGUGGAAUGCGUAGAUAUGCACAAGAACACCGGUGGCGAAGGCGGCUUUCUGGCCCGAUACUGACGCUGAAGUGCGAAAGCGUGGGGAGCGAACAGGAUUAGAUACCCUGGUAGUCCACGCCGUAAACGAUGGGCACUAGGUGUUGGAGGACUUGACCCCUCCAGUGCCGCAGCUAACGCAUUAAGUGCCCCGCCUGGGGAGUACGGUCGCAAGGCUG
rnacentral:rRNA from 1 species